AAUUCGUUGCUGCCAACUGGGGUGGCAGCAGGGGUGGCAAGGCUUUCUUUUAGGGUGGCAUGUGCCACCCUAUGCCACCCCGGUAGAUCCGCCCAUGCAUAUCUGGUUGAUACACAUUCAUCAUACUCUGUGCACUGGGGGUGCCACUGGGCAAAACAGAGAGUUACAAGAAGUGGACACCCUGCUCUACUUGAUUACUUUACUUGUUUUUUACUACUUACUGCCUAUAGGGAUAAUAAUAAUGCUUAGAAUUUUGAGAUUUAGUAAUAAAUCUAAUGGCUUGGCUUAGUGGCGUCGUGCCAUGUAGACUUGUUCCCUCCAGUGAUUCCACUUCUGCACUCCAGCCUAAAGAGAGACUUAGCCUUGGCCUUAUCUGGUAGAAUCUGAUAGCAUACAGCUGUGCUGAUGGUGUCAUAUCAGUCUGAGAUCCAUAUAGCUGUGUGACACCCACUCCUACUACCUCCACUUAUAACAAAAAGCCGGCAAGAUCCUGGUGGAACUAGUAUUAUUUACAUAUUAGUUUUUUGUUGCAUGAUGAAGAAGCUAUUCAGUUCAAAGCUUUGUAAGUCGAACAAGUUAAGAAAGGAGCCAAGGACAGAUACAGCCAUAAUGGCAGAGUCUUGCUCACUUGACUGUAAAGUGUAUGUAGGUAAUCUAGGAGACAAUGGAAACAAGACUGACUUGGAGAGGGCGUUUGGUUAUUAUGGCCCCUUACGGAGUGUCUGGGUGGCCAGGCACCCUCCUGGUUUUGCAUUUGUGGAGUUUGAAGAUCCCAGAGAUGCUAGAGAUGCUGUCAGAGAGUUAGAUGGAAGAACACUUUGUGGCUGCCGCGUGCGAGUUGAGAUGUCAAAUGGUGAGAAGCGAAAUCGAGGUCCACCACCUUCCUGGGGUCGCCGGUCAAGAGAUGACUCUAGGCGCAGGAGCCCACCUCCCAGACGCCGAGACAUCUUCCCUCUCCUCAUCUACUGCUGUGUCAGUCAACUAGCCCAGUUUCUACACCUUUGUGACCAGCUCACAUGUCCCAAGCAUGGUCACCAGUCCAUUGCCUCCUGAACAUGUCUCUCUCUAAGGGUCUUCCAGUUCCUUCAGCAAAACUACCCACUCCACCCAUACAACCAAUCGACGGCUCUUAUUCUUCUCUAAUGUCUACAAUCAGCCUUCCCUCAGCUGUCCUCAGCUAACUGACCUCUUCAGCCAGCUAUAGCAAUCAGCAAUGUUAACGUCUAGAAAUCAGCUCCCCGCAUUUUCUACCCUCCUGACCAGCACUCAGCCUCUUUGCAUCCUUACUAGCUUGUUGAAAACCAAAUAAUAGUCCCCCAAGAGGAAGAGUUCCAGCCGCAGUCGCAGCAGGUCCAGGGACAGGAGAAGGGACAGGUCUCUUUCUCGUAACGGAAACGAUAA